rnacentral:rRNA from 1 species
UACGUAGGGGGCAAGCGUUGUCCGGAAUUAUUGGGCGUAAAGAGCGUGUAGGCGGUCCGGUAAGUCAGCUGUGAAAGUCAAGGGCUCAACCCUUGAAUGCCGGUUGAUACUGUCGGGCUAGAGUCCGGAAGAGGCGAGUGGAAUUCCCGGUGUAGCGGUGAAAUGCGUAGAUAUCGGGAGGAACAUCAGUGGCGAAGGCGGCCCUCUGGUCCAGUACUGACACUCAAGUGCGAAAGCGUGGGGAGCAAACAGG